GACGAACGCUGGCGGCGUGCCUAAUACAUGCGAGUCGAACGAGAGCGACCGGUGCUUGCACUGGUCAAUCUAGUGGCGAACGGGUGAGUAACACGUGGGUAACCUGCCCAUCAGAGGGGGAUAACAUCCGGAAACGGAUGCUAAAACCGCAUAGGUCUUCGAACCGCAUGGUUUGAAGAGGAAAAGAGGCGCAAGCUUCUGCUGAUGGAUGGACCCGCGGUGCAUUAGCUAGUUGGUGAGGUAACGGCUCACCAAGGCCGUGAUGCAUAGCCGACCUGAGAGGGUGAUCGGCCACAUUGGGACUGAGACACGGCCCAAACUCCUACGGGAGGCAGCAGUAGGGAAUCUUCCGCAAUGGACGCAAGUCUGACGGAGCAACGCCGCGUGAGUGAAGAAGGUUUUCGGAUCGUAAAACUCUGUUGUUAGAGAAGAACAAGUGCUAGAGUAACUGUUAGCGCCUUGACGGUAUCUAACCAGAAAGCCACGGCUAACUACGUG
rnacentral:rRNA from 1 species